GUGCCGCAGCCGCGGUAAUACCGGCAGUCCGAGUGAUGGCCGAUCUUAUUGGGCCUAAAGCGUCCGUAGCUGGCCACGCAAGUCCAUCGGGAAAUCCACCUGCCCAACAGGUGGGCGCCCGGUAGAAACUGCGUGGCUUGGGACCGGAAGGCGCGACGGGUACGUCCGGGGUAGGAGUGAAAUCCUGUAAUCCUGGACGGACCGCCGAUAGCGAAAGCACGUCGCGAGGACGGAUCCGACAGUGAGGGACGAAAGCUCGGGUCACGAACCGGAUUAGAAACCCCCGUAGUCC
rnacentral:rRNA from 1 species